rnacentral:rRNA from 1 species
GACGAACGCUGGCGGCGUGCUUAACACAUGCAAGUCGAACGGAAAGGCCCUUCGGGGUACUCGAGUGGCGAACGGGUGAGUAACACGUGGGUGAUCUGCCCUGCACUUUGGGAUAAGCCUGGGAAACUGGGUCUAAUACCGAAUAGGACCACGCGCUUCAUGGUGUGUGGUGGAAAGCUUUUGCGGUGUGGGAUGGGCCCGCGGCCUAUCAGCUUGUUGGUGGGGUAAUGGCCUACCAAGGCGACGACGGGUAGCCGGCCUGAGAGGGUGACCGGCCACACUGGGACUGAGAUACGGCCCAGACUCCUACGGGAGGCAGCAGUGGGGAAUAUUGCACAAUGGGCGCAAGCCUGAUGCAGCGACGCCGCGUGAGGGAUAACGGCCUUCGGGUUGUAAACCUCUUUCAAUAGGGACGAAGCGCAAGUGACGGUACCUAUAGAAGAAGCACCGGCCAACUACGUG